CACCCCUCAAGCGUAGCUUGGUAUUGGGCCUUCGCCCCCGCGGCGUGCCCGAAAAGCAGUGGCGGUCCGGUGUGACUUUAAGCGUAGUAAAUUCUCUCCCGCUUUGAAAGCUCACGCCGUGACCGGCCAGACAACCCCAUUAGCUUCAAU
rnacentral:misc_RNA from 1 species